CGUUUGCAUUCAAUAAUAGGUACCUACGCCCGUACCAUUUUUUUUAAAUAUCAAAAUUUAAAAUGUUAUUAUAAUGUUUUAAUCAUAGAUUUAGUAUACAUCAAGUUCUAAAUGUAUGGUUCAUAUAUAUAUUUCCAAAGUAUAAAUAGUGCAAUAAACACAUUUGAAAAAAAAUUGCGCCCAUGGAAACUAUAGAAAUGUAACAUAAAAUAUUUAUAAUCAAAAUUAUAUCCCCACGAUGUUAUGUUAUACCUAAGCAAACUGCCAAACUAAGGUGCAAAACUUCAAAACUGGAAAGGCGUGUUAAAUAAGCUAAACUUAAAGCUAAAAAUAAUAUUAAACAAACUACGAGCAACCGAAAGAAUGCAGGGAGACGGCGCGGGUUCAAACCAUUAUUAUUUUAACAUUAAAAAGAAGUUUUCAACAAACAUACCAUUGCCUGAAUAUAUUGCAAAAUUGACAAAUCAGAAACGUUCGUUUUUUGCCAAAAUUCGGCCAAAGUUUCUGUCAAAUCGCAAUAUAAGAAAAAUUUUUGUUUCUAUCAAACAACAUGUAUUAAAUACAAAUCCACAUAACAUAAAUAAAUGAACUUAAGUUUCAGAGUUUAAUUUCAA